rnacentral:rRNA from 1 species
UACGUAGGGUGGCAAGCGUUGUCCGGAAUUAUUGGGCGUAAAGAGCUUGUAGGCGGUUUGUCGCGUCUGCUGUGAAAUUUCGGGGCUCAACCCCGAACUUGACAGUGGGUACGGGCAGACUAGAGUGUGGUAGGGGGAGACUGGAAUUCCUGGUGUAGCGGUGAAAUGCGCAGAUAUCAGGAGGAACACCCGUGGCGAAGGCGGCUCUCUGGGACGGUACUGACGCUGAGACGCGAAAGCGUGGGGAGCGAACAGG